CGAUUGAACGCUGGCGGAAUGCUUUACACAUGCAAGUCGAACGGCAGCACGGGGCAACCUGGUGGCGAGUGGCGAACGGGUGAGUAAUACAUCGGAACGUGCCCAAUCGUGGGGGAUAACGUAGCGAAAGUUACGCUAAUACCGCAUACGAUCUACGGAUGAAAGCGGGGGAUCGCAAGACCUCGCGCGAAUGGAGCGGCCGAUGUCAGAUUAGGUAGUUGGUGGGGUAAAGGCUCACCAAGCCAACGAUCUGUAGCUGGUCUGAGAGGACGACCAGCCACACUGGAACUGAGACACGGUCCAGACUCCUACGGGAGGCAGCAGUGGGGAAUUUUGGACAAUGGGCGCAAGCCUGAUCCAGCCAUUCCGCGUGCAGGAUGAAGGCCUUCGGGUUGUAAACUGCUUUUGUACGGAACGAAACGGUCUGCCCUAAUACGGCGGGCUAAUGACGGUACCGUAAGAAUAAGCACCGGCUAACUACGUG
rnacentral:rRNA from 1 species